CCUACGGGACGCAGCAGUGGGGAAUAUUGGGCAAUGGGCGCAAGCCUGACCCAGCAACGCCGCGUGAAGGAAGAAGGCUUUCGGGUUGUAAACUUCUUUUAAGAGGGAAGAGCAGAAGACGGUACCUCUUGAAUAAGCCACGGCUAACUACGUGCCAGCAGCCGCGGUAAUACGUAGGUGGCAAGCGUUGUCCGGAUUUACUGGGUGUAAAGGGCGUGUAGCCGGGCUGACAAGUCAGAUGUGAAAUUCCGGGGCUCAACCCCGGACCUGCAUUUGAAACUGUUGGUCUUGAGUAUCGGAGAGGC
rnacentral:rRNA from 1 species